rnacentral:rRNA from 1 species
GACAGAGGUCCCGAGCGUUAGGCGGAACCACUGGGCUUAAAGCGUGUGUAGGCGGAUGCCUAAGUACCUUGUGAAAUCCCACGGCUCACCCGUGGAACUGCUUGGUAUACUGGGUGUCUUGAGCCACUUAGGGGCUACCGGAACAAAUGGUGGAGCGGUGAAAUGCGUAGAUAUCAUUUGGAACGCCAAUGGUGAAAACAGGUAGCUGGGAGUGUGCUGACGCUGAGACACGAAAGCCAGGGGAGCAAACGGG